GUGAAAUUAGAUGGAUAUUAAUUUUAUAUGUGAUCCUAACAGGGGCAAUCUAAGCCCCAUAAGCAUUGCAACUUAGGGUAUGGGUUAUAAUGCAAAGCAAUUGUGAUUCCUUUUCAUAGUUUUUAGUUAAUGCAUUGUCGGUAGAGCGGGAGGGGGGGGUGCAAGGAAAAGCCCAAUUGUUUUAGCUAAGUGUUUCAAAAUGGUCUGAAAAAGCACAUCCAUUUAUUCUUUGCACCAUCACCACUAUAGGUGUGUGUACUAUUUCUCUACAAACUCUGCACUGGGUCCAUGUGAU